CAUUUUUUUUCCUCCUCCGUUUCGGCAUAGUGCUUCCCUCUUGCAUCGAUUUCCCAUCCUGUGUCUCCCCUCCGCAAGCCACAGCCACACCCUUACGGAUGGUCCCAUCCUCUCUUGUGCCAAGGGCCAUGGAAUUGCUGCCUCAGGAGGACAUUGUAUUGCAGGGAGGAUGUGCAGGAAUUAUUUCUUUCUUAUUAUCAAGAGAAGAAGACAGGUGCCCAGCCAAGUGAGCUGCGACCGAGCGAGGCUCUAAAGCCGGUGAUGACUGCCAGAAGAACUAAUUUUGUACAAAUUUGAUCCCUUUAUUCAUGAAGGUAGAAGUGACGAGUACUCUAAUGGCUACUCUUAUUCAGUUAUUCAGGAUACAUGCAAAUCUUAAUUGUUUUCAGUAUAUUUGUUGUAAAGUUCCGGCAACUGUCCAGUUAGGGAAAUAUAUUUGAAUUUGAAAUGUUUUCCAGAAUAGAUUUAUUAUGAUUAGGAUGCAUGAUUCCAAUCUAUAAAGCAAGGAUUCUAGAUGUUCAAUGAGAUAUUUAUUUGAAGAAGCUAAUCCUAAAAAUGCAAAUGCCAAGUCUUGCCAUAUUAAGAAUUAAUUGACUAUUCGUGAUCCUCAUGCUAGGAUUGGAUGCGUUGGUGUGUUUUGGCAAAGCAACAAAGAAAGUGUUAUAUUUGAUUAGUAGUAAAAGAAAUCUGAAUCCGAGGCCUCUUGGUUUAUGACAAUAAAUGGGAUCAUAAUUUACCUGAAACCUGAUUUGACAUGGUUGUGGAA